CAGCCGCCGCGGUAAUACGGAGGGAGCUAGCGUUGUUCGGAAUUACUGGGCGUAAAGCGCGCGUAGGCGGUUAUUCAAGUCAGAGGUGAAAUCCCCGGGCUCAACCUGGGAACUGCAUUUGUGACUGCAUGGCUAGAGUGUGGUAGAGGAUAGUGGAAUUUCCGGUGUAGCAGUGAAAUGCGUAGAGAUCGGAAGGAACAUCUGUGGCGAAGGCGACUAUCUGGGCCAACACUGACACUGAGGCACGAAAGCGUGGGGAGCAAACAGGAUUAGAUACCCCUGUAGUCCCUGUCUCUUAUAC
rnacentral:rRNA from 1 species